rnacentral:rRNA from 1 species
AACGCGAAGAACCUUACCUGGUCUUGACAUCCACGGAAGUUUUCAGAGAUGAGAAUGUGCCUUCGGGAACCGUGAGACAGGUGCUGCAUGGCUGUCGUCAGCUCGUGUUGUGAAAUGUUGGGUUAAGUCCCGCAACGAGCGCAACCCUUAUCCUUUGUUGCCAGCGGUCCGGCUGGGAACUCAAAGGAGACUGCCAGUGAUAAACUGGAGGAAGGUGGGGGUGACGUCAAGUCAUCAUGGCCCUUACGACCAGGGCUACACACGUGCUACAAUGGCGCAUACAAAGAGAAGCGACCUCGCGAGAGCAAGCGGACCUCAUAAAGUGCGUCGUAGUCCGGAUUGGAGUCUGCAACUCGACUCCAUGAAGUCGGAAUCGCUAGUAAUCGUGGAUCAGAAUGCCACGGUGAAUACGUUCCCGGGUCUUGUACACACCG